CCUACGGGUGGCAGCAGUGGGGAAUAUUGGACAAUGGGCGAAAGCCUGAUCCAGCCAUGCCGCGUGUGUGAAGAAGGCCUUCGGGUUGUAAAGCACUUUCAGUGGGGAAGAAAGCCUUGGGGCUAAUACCCUCGAGGAAGGACAUCACCCACAGAAGAAGCACCGGCUAACUCCGUGCCAGCAGCCGCGGUAAUACGGAGGGUGCGAGCGUUAAUCGGAAUUACUGGGCGUAAAGCGCGCGUAGGCGGUCUGAUAAGCCGGUUGUGAAAGCCCCGGGCUCAGCCUGGGAACGGCAUCCGGAACUGUCAGGCUAGAGUGCAGGAGAGGAAGGUAGAAUUCCCGGUGUAGCGGUGAAAUGCGUAGAGAUCGGGAGGAAUACCAGUGGCGAAGGCGGCCUUCUGGACUGACACUGACGCUGAGGUGCGAAAGCGUGGGUAGCAAACAGGAUUAGAUACCCGAGUAGUC
rnacentral:rRNA from 1 species